GACGUGAUAUACUUUUAUAGAGGGAGGGGAGUUUCACCCCUCUGGUUACUUGUCCUUGUUUUUGUCUAUCUUGCGUAAUGUUAUCAGCGCUACUGCAAGAGUUACAAUUUCAAGGACUGUUUUUAUUUCCUCUAAGAUGUCUUUCACU
rnacentral:sRNA from 22 species